GUGAAGGCAGCAGAUAAGGAAGCAUGCUUGUGUGGAGCAGUAGUGCUGUUCUCCUGGCUCCAACCACUGAAGGGCAGCUGGCAGAUGGAAGGAGGCAGUUACCUACGCUGAUCUAGGCGCCCCAUUCGUCAGGGUUUGGGGAGUGUUCCAGGGUUGCUGUAGUGGUGAACCUGCAAGGCACAUCUGAGGCACACUACUAUAGGACCAAGGCUCUAUUGUCUGUCUUCCCCAGACAAGCCUAUCUGCCUGGAGAGCCUGCCCAGCCCCCACAGCCAACCUGAGAAGCAUUUCCCUCAGAGAUGAUCAGUUACCACCUCAUGAAGACUCUCCCGAGGGCAGGAAGCAAGACAGCAGUUUUUCCCAAGUCAGUACAUCAUGAAGCUGGGGCCCAGUCCCCAGUCUCUGAUCCUCCUUAGCACCUGAAGCCUCCAUCGCGUGCACAAACCAGACAUUUGGCUCCAAACAACUCAUUCACAGGAGGAGGACUUAAUGUAGCUACCUGGAUUUAUAUUGGAGUCUUGCACUUUCUUUGUGACAGUGUUUCAGUCUUACAAUGUUAAUACAAUAGGUUGCUUAAAACUUGGAUAGCAGGAGGCAGAGUCUGCCUCAGGCAGUGGGUUCCCAGCUCUUUUGUUUGUUUGUUUGUUUUGUUUUGUUUGGGGGGGGGUCUUUUGUAGUCUACCCGGUCCCAGUCGGGCGUGGAGCUUGCUGUGCCAGUAUUCGCCAAACCCAGGAAGGGAAGGGAAGGGGAUGACAAGGGCGAGAAGAAAUCUUUUAAAAUCACUUCGUUCUUGAAAACAGAAACCAACGUUGCGGCCAAAAGAAAAGGUGAACACCUCAUUCAAAAAGCCAAAAAAGCAAACCGAAGCCGGACCAUGCUGAGCCGAUCCAGGAGCACCUAGAAGGAUCCGAUUUAAGGCAGGCUGUUCUAGGGGGACUGCUGCAGAAAGCACUGAGUUCCCUGCCCCGCGGAGCCAGGCUCGCGCUGGAGCAGACGACUUGAAUUUUGUGGCCAAGUCCCUCGCCCUCUGUCCCCAGUCUUGCCUUCAGCAAAGGGGGAGUGUAUCCACUAGGCUGGGAAAAAAAAUAAAAUAAAACCCUCAACAACUCUCAGGCACAGCCCAAGAGCCACCUGCGGCCUUUCGCAGAGAGAAAUCCUGACUCUGCUGCCUUCUCGUCCCAGAACCCCAGGAUCAGAACCGCCGCGGCGUCUUUGCAUCCCCGGAGCUGCACAUCUCCUGCCGGUGAACUUGACCUCCAGACUGCCGUCAUCCUUAGGGUAGGACACUGAAAGGAGUGAGCGGCGGGCUCGGAGAUCAUCUAAGGUGCAGCAAAAUCCAGGUUGUACUUUUACAAAACAGAAUGUGUCUUUAUAGUAAAGCUGACUUUUUGUGAAAACGAUGCGCUAUUUGAAAGUGGCAUUGACUUGAAAGAAUUAAUUCUUCAUUGCAAAGGCUGAUAUCUUAUGAAAAGGUUGAACAUUUUUAUUUACCCCUAUGGGGCAGCAGAAAUACAUAGUGAACUUUUGAAAAAUUUUCAAAUUAUCAUUUUUUUCUUUUAUAUAUUUGGCUGGCUCUUUUACCCAAAUAAGCAUGAGCACACACAAAUUACAUAGCCUUCAUUAUAUAUAUGUACACCAUAAUAUAAUACAAUGAAAUGUAACAUAACCAGCUAUAAUGAAAAAAUAAAAUGAUGAAAUGAAUUGAUCAAAAAAAUCUAAAGAGAAUGAUCAAAUGAGCUAAUAAGAAACAUUAAAUAUGACAUGAGGAUUUUAUGACAAGUAAGGAAAUGAAACUGUGAACCGAAAGCUAAUGAAAGACGGACGGUAAGGAGAGAAAAUAGGUUGAAAUGUAAUGAAAUGUAAAAACAAUAAAAUGACAAAAAUGAUGGAGUGAAAGAAAAUAGAUAAAAUUAAAAUUGAAAAUAAAUUCAAUUAAUUCAAUUAAAUAUGAUAGAAUGAAAUAAAAUUAUUUAGAAUAAUGAGAUGGUGAAAGGAAAUAAUAAAAUAAAAACUAUUGUGAAAUGGAUUUUAAAUCAUGAGAUGAGUUGAAAUGAAAUGUAAUGUCAUCUAAUCAUGUGAAAUGUUAUUUACUUAAGAACAAUGAAAGAUAAUCAAUGACAUGAAAGAUACAGUGAAAUGAAAUGCAGUGGCUAUGAAAACAAAUAUACCAAAAUGAGCUGAUACAGCAUGGAGUGAUAAAAUGGUGAUAUGUGAUGACAUAAUGAGGGUCAGAGAUGAUGUGAAUCUUAGUAUUAAAGUGACAGGAAAUAAAAGGAAACUGUUAUAAAAUAUAGGAUGAAAGCGUGAUAAGGGAAAUUAAGAAAGGGAAUACAGGAUGCUGCAGGGAAGCAUAAUAAACCUAAACCAAGAGAAGUUGAACAGAACAAUGGUCAAACAAGAUAAAUUAAAUGAUGAAAUAAAAUCAUUUAAAUUUAAAUUUGAUUAUAUUUAAGUGUAUGACACUGUCUUCACACUGUUUAGUCUUUCCCCCUCAUGUCACUAUAUCCUUUUAUUAUUUUAUUAAGUUUCAUUGUGUUAUAUUAGUUUCUUUCAUCGUUUCACUUUUUAUCAAAUUUCAAAUGUUAUUAUUAUGAGAGGAUUUACUUUAUUUCCAAAUAUCAUACUGUUUCAUUGUCCCAUGUCACUCUUUUUGUCACUCAUUGAAUCACAUCAUCAUCCAUUCACGACUUAAUUUCACUUUGAAAACCUCAUUUAAUUACAUAUAUUUGAUUACAAGACAUUUCAUUAUUUUCUUCCAUUUCAAAAUUACCUGUUUGGAUACAGUGAGGCAGAGCCGGCUUCACCAAGUAGGCUGUCCCUGCUUGCAAACACCAAACAGGCUGUGGAGGAGGCAGAUAAGCAAAUUUUCUGAAGAAAACGGUUUAAAUUAAAUCGUUCUUUAAAAAAUGGAAACCAGGCUCUGUUACCAGAUAGAAAAGGGCAAACCACACAUCUGGCAAAAAAAAAAAACAAAACAAAACAAACAAAACAAAAAAAAAACAGCAGAAAGCCAUCCACUCUGUAAGAUCCAGCAAUGCAUCAGGGGUCUACCCUGGGAGUGUGGGGUGGGGACCAGGGGGGGUCCUACUUGCAAGGGAAGUGGGGAGUCAGAACUACAAAAAUCACACUUCAUGGUAUCUUCUGACAAGGGGACCCACUCACAUGGCCUUUCCCAGUUUACCAGGCCGGCUGCUCUGCACCCAGCAGGCAGUUGCUCCACUAUCCAGUAAGACACUGAGCUUUAUCAUGGAAGCUGCUGACAAUGAUGCAGUUUAAACAGCAACAGCAUCAAAUCCUGUAAAGACCCAGUUUCACACUGGGGAGCCUGACGCGCACUAGAAACCGGACUUCACUCGCCUGAUAAACCAUGCAGCAGCAUCGAGAGCUGACUGGGAGGCCACACUCUCCUGACCCUGGGCUGGGUUGGACUGGCCUGGAUUUGCAGCCACCCUCCUCCUGCACCCUC